AGUCGGCCGAACGACCGCGGGCACAGGGCGAAAGCCCGUGCGUGAGGAAAGUCCGGGCUCCACAGGGCAAGGAUAACGGGUAACGCCCGCCAGGGGUGACCCUCGGACAAGUGCAACAGAAAUAGUCAGCCGGGCGUUUCGCCCGGUCAAGGUGGAAAGGUGGGGUAAGAGCCCACCCGUCGCAUGGAGACAUGUGGACGCUGUAAACUCUAUCCGGAGCAACACCGUGGUACGGGGACACACAGGCCGGCCCGGCUGUCCCCAGGAGGUGGCUUGAUCCCGCCGGCAACGGCGGGGCUAGAUAGAUGGUCGUUUCAGACAGAACCCGGCUUACAGACCGACUCGU
rnacentral:RNase_P_RNA from 1 species